GGCGAACGGGUGAGUAACACGUGGGUGAUCUGCCCUGCACUCUGGGAUAAGCCUGGGAAACUGGGUCUAAUACCGGAUAGGACCAUGCUUUAGUGUGUGCGGUGGAAAGUUUUUCGGUGUAGGAUGAGCCCGCGGCCUAUCAGCUUGUUGGUGGGGUAAUGGCCUACCAAGGCGGCGACGGGUAGCCGGACUGAGAGGUUGGUCGGCCACAUUGGGACUGAGAUACGGCCCAG
rnacentral:rRNA from 1 species